rnacentral:rRNA from 1 species
UACGAAGGGGGCUAGCGUUGCUCGGAAUUACUGGGCGUAAAGGGCGCGUAGGCGGCUUUUUAAGUCAGGGGUGAAAUCCUGGAGCUCAACUCCAGAACUGCCUUUGAUACUGGGAAGCUUGAGUCCGGGAGAGGUGAGUGGAACUCCGAGUGUAGAGGUGAAAUUCGUAGAUAUUCGGAAGAACACCAGUGGCGAAGGCGGCUCACUGGCCCGGUACUGACGCUGAGGUGCGAAAGCGUGGGGAGCAAACAGG